CCGUGCUAGAUGGGGAGUUAGCGGUGCCCUGUAACCUGCAAUCCGCUACAGCAGGAUCGAAUUCCUCGGGGAGGCUUUAGUUUGUAUGGCCUGCCCUAUGUAAGUGGUGUUGAUGGCUGGGUCCCACGCAACGGGAGCCCAUGAACCUUGUCAGAUCCGGAAGGAAGCAGCAAUAAGUGGUUCCUUCCGUGUGCCGUGGAUCAAUCUGGCCUGAGCUAACUGCAUAGGUAACGCAUAUAAACUACUGUCGAAGCGGGGUGCACGG
rfam:Clostridium baratii str. Sullivan, complete genome.